rnacentral:rRNA from 1 species
GACGAACGCUGGCGGCGCGCUUAACACAUGCAAGUCGAGCGAGAACCGGGGCUUCGGCCCCGGGGACAGCGGCGAACGGGUGAGUAUCACGUGGGUAACCUGCCCUCGGCGCCGGGGUAGCCCGGGGAAACCCGGAUUAAUACCGGAUGGCCCCUCCGACCUUCGGGUCGGCGGGAAAAGGUAGCUUCGGCCUCCGGCCGAGGAUGGGCCCGCGGCGGAUUAGCUUGUUGGUGGGGUAACGGCUCACCAAGGCGACGGUCCGUAGCUGGUCUGAGAGGGCGAUCAGCCACACUGGGACUGAGACACGGCCCAGACUCCUACGGGAGGCAGCAGUGGGGAAUCUUGCGCAAUGGGCGAAAGCCUGACGCAGCGACGCCGCGUGAGGGAAGAAGGCCUUCGGGUUGUAAACCUCUUUCAGUAGGGACGAAGCCACUCGGGUGAAUAGCCCAGAGGGUGACGGUACCUACAGAAGAAGCCCCGGCUAACUACGUGCCAGCCGCCGCAGUAACAC